CCAACACACUGCUGCCCGCACACGGCUUUGUGCAACGGGGGUCACAAACUGAGCAGAGCACAGUGCGGCUCCGUCCCUCCUCUUCGGCAGGAAGACUCCACCGCAGUGUUUCUGACUGCAGUGAUUUAGUGUCUAUUCCCUUGCACUGCAUCAGACGAAGCCAGCCGGGGCGCAGGGAAGCCAAGGACAAGCUGCGAUGAAAGGGGCAUCACCGCGAAGACAGAGAAAGGAUGUGUUUGUGCAAUAUAACAUCACGUUCAUUUGCCAACAGAAGAGGCCAAAAGGUGAUGUCCAAGAGAUGAACACCGCCUUCUCUUACAUGACAGUAACCCAUCAGCUGCACGGGAAUUACUCUGCGUUUCCAGGGAAGGACUUGACAGCAGGACCAUAACACCCUGCUAGAACAUUUCUUCUAUCACCAUUGCAAGAGCUCUGUAAAUCCAGCACUUUCCAGCUGAGACGUUUCAGACGAGAGCUCAAAGUUGAGGUGAUCAAACAGCUAGCAAAGAGGUGACCAAACAAUGAGUAACAACAGGACACUCACCUUCCUUCCCCUGUCCAAAAAAUGUGUUAAGUUAGAGUAAUACUAAAUGCAGAGUUAUUCUGUGUCUAAACCUAUUUUGUCUGCAAUUACAGCCCUUCACAUCAUAAGAGCUGGAGGCUUUUUCUUCUUCUGAAAUGACAGUACCUUGGAUACUCUUGGAUCCUCCUUUGAAUUGUUUCUGAGCCAAUCCUGCAUGACUCCUUGCAGUGCUGCUCUCAUCCCUCAACAGGCCAUGAAAAUCAAAGCAAAUUUCAUUUGCUUUGGAAGCAGAUGCCUUGUGAAAAAAGCCUCUGUCUGUUUAGCAGCAUGGCAGAUUCAUUCCUCCUACAAUCAAAAGGUUUUAAGUUCAGUGAGGUCACACACUCAGAAACUGGCCAGUUGAAUACUCACUGAAGAAUCUCUGCAUAAGUCUGAUGUGAUUCUACAGGACAGAGAAGUACCUUCAGCAUCAGGCAGAAUAUGAGAGCAUCUCUCAUUAUUGAAACACAGUGAAGUCACUUCACUGCAGUACAUUGCUAUUAUAUACAGCCAAUGUUGCUACAUCAGUUGUGCUUUCGUGCAGCCUCCCGUGGGGCUCACAGCAAAAGCAAAUGAAGUGAGCGAAGAAUGAUCGCGGGCACCAGACUCCUUCAGGCGAAGGAAAGGCUGAAGGUGACUGACUGUUUUAUGUAAUACAUGACUACAAAACCUGAGCCGGUCAUUUGCCACUUCUCUACCAAGAUAAACAAAACAUGCCCCUACUCAGCGCGUGCCAUUUUCCACAGUGCCAUGAACUCUGCAGGUGACAGCCUGGGCAAGGGAACAGAGCCAGCUCUCUGCACACACGCUGACUGGAUUUCAAUACACAAUUGUGACAGAUGUGGAUAUUUUUCAAAGCUAUCUGUGUACUGGAGGAUUUGAAAUGUUUCUUACCUGAGGCUACCUGCCAAUAACUAUUACUAUUCUUUGCAGCUGCAAACACCUUCAAAAUGAAGGCAAAGUUCCAACUGAGCCUGAUGUUCAAACUCCAGCUCCAGUUUUUAGGUAUGUGAAGAAUUCAGUCAACCUAUCCAUGCGCCUUGUUGAACAAAGAUGAGUUGUUUUUCAUGCCCAUAGGUUCUGGACAGUUGUGUCAAAUUUUUUGCUAUACCUAGCCAAAGGCUCACCUAACCCCACAUCCCUAGGUUAGUGAGGUUACGUCAUGCCAGUGCCUCCGCAGUGAUGUUAAAGAGAGCAAUGCUCUUUGCAUCACAAGCAGCUACCUUCAUGGCUUGAGGCUUUGUGGGUCAGCUGGGAAUGCCCAGGCAGGGACGACCAGAAGAUUUCUGCACAGAAGAAGCUAAAGAAAAGCACCCUAGCACAGUGCAUUUAGCCAUCACUAACACUUAUCAAGUGCAUCUUUUGAAACAAAAAUAAAAGUUGCUGUAAUCCCAGUCUCUGCACUCCCUGUCUUCAAAGAGCUUCCAAAGGCAGCUUGAAUUCUUCACCCUUGUGCUGGCAUGCUCGGAGUGACAUUAGAAGCCACUUCUGGCACUGGCUGUUAUCACAUCCUGGUAACUGCAGCCCCCAGCUAGCCACAUGUUGGCAGCAGCGGAGGAACGCAGCUGUAACACUAUCUGACACACACCAGGAGAGUUUGCACAGCCCCACUCACAACUCCACGACGCAGCAGAUAUCAGCCCUAUAUACUAACUAUAGACUUGCUGAAACAUUAUCAUACAUGAAGGACUAAUUAGGUGUGCUGGGCCAUUAGCCAUCUCUGAACGUUGACUGAUGAAAAACGUAAUUAAUGGCAGCUUUCAUAAACAGACUCCAGAAUGGAGAAUUAAAUUAAAAGGAGAACAGCUGUUGCUAAUGGAAAUAAGGACCAUUUCUUGAUUAAAAUAUCUGCCUGUCUUUCUGUGGGAGUUUUUCCAGAAUGGUGGGAUGGAAGAGAGUAACGAGAUCUGGGAGCAAAGAAUCUGCAAAGCUUCCUGCUGAAGAAAACACAGCUUCUCUGGCUGAUGAGUCACAAUGUUUUCCUUUCGCACAUUGGAGUAGGGGAAAGAGCUAUACAAUUGCCUUGUUCAUCUCGCUGCCAGUCUGAAUGGCUUUAUAAACCUGGAGAUCAACCCUGACAUAAAUGAAUCCAGUUCAGCUUUAACAUAAGGUAAUAUUUCAUAUUAUAUGAGCCCACAGAUAUAGGAGGAUCUAGAUUUCAAAAGCUACUUGCUAAGGCCCUAUGUACUAAUACAGAGCCCUGAAUCCAGAAGAUGACAUCUCCACAAAUCUCACUUAAGCACAUAUAUUGACUCUGACACCAAACUGCAGCAGUGAAUGCACAGCUGAGAACAUCUAUCAGAGGGAGACUUCCACCCAGAGUGAGCCACUACGGACUCAGUAAAAGUCUGCUGACAUAAAUGAAAGGGUCCGAAGGACAGAAAAUGCCAGAAUCAAUAUUUUUUCAGGUCAUGAGGCCGUUCCUUCAUGCUGUGAUGACUCUGAUCCUCUCUGACAAGUAGUACUGCAGGACGAACCUACAGUACAGAAGAGUUAACAUCCAGAUUUUCAUAGAUGCUGAUCAAAACAGCUUCAUCUGCCUCCUACCAUCUUCUCUGUGACAGAAGUCACAUACCUGUGGGGUUACAGUCUUCUUUCUGAGUCCCUGAAGUCGUUUACUUUUACAUUUACUCUAUUUAGCAUAAAAAUUUCGAAUGUGCUUUGAAGUGCCUUUGGAACCUGUGCAUCAGUAGACGUGGCCAGUAGACAGUUUUACCCUGUGUGUUUCAGUGUGUCUCUCCAAGGCUCACAGACGCUUUUGUCUGUCUUCAUAUAAAGUCUUGAAUCAUGGGUUUGAUUCUCUGGGAAGGCCCUGAGCACUGCGUGUUACAGAUCAAUUCUGGUACUUAACUCUUGAGCAGCUCUUUGUAGAUUUGCACCCUGUUCUGUACCUGGGGCAGGAAAGCCCCUGCUCCACUGCAGCAACUCACAUCAGUCUUGCUCUGCCUUGUUCAAAAUGAUAGAUCUUUUCCAUCACUGAUGCCUGAGAGCUAAGCCCUGGAAAUCCUAUGCCCCAUGAAGCCCGCUGACAAGGAAAUACAUGCUCCACACCACCUGUGCUUUGAGGAAUGAAGGCAUAUGAAAGGCUGCGUUCAGGCUGCAUUAUCAGAUUCAAAGUGGAAACUAAAGAGAGAGAAAGGUCUGAAAGAUGAGCCAGCCAGGAAUGCCUGUUGCUUUCACCUUUGAUCCACGUGGUGCUUUGAUGUGGUAUUUCAGUCCUUCAGACAAGGUAACUUAUCCUAGUCUGCAGCCCAUGGCACCUCCAAUGGAUAUAAAUGAGGCAGCAAGCCGUGUCCUUCGGCUCUCACUGAGGCGCUGCCAGUUAGCGGCAUAAUUCAGUCCCACUCCCUCCCCAUCCCCAUUUUUUUCCCUGCCUGCAAAGUCUAAAAGGAAAUUCCCUCAAAUAAAUACAAAAGCACUUGAUGUUCAUCUAAUGGCAUUUCAGGGAAAGGAAGCAUGAAACCACACAAGUUAUUCAUCUCCAUAAAAUAGUUCUAUCAGGGGCCCAAAACACAGUUUCUUAGCCUGAGGAGGGCUGAUCUUCCUUAUGAGAUGUAGAUGCAUGACAUUAUGUGCAGAAUGGGUGCUGCUUAAGAACUCCGAUAGAUACAGAGCAGGCAUGUGGGAAUGAUCAGCAUAAAAUAUUUCCUUUUAAUGACGUGCACACUUCUGCCCCUUUGAGGAAGAACAAUAUGUGCACUGAAUACUGCAGCACAUUCUUCUAGUCAUAUGGAGGCCUUGAUCUGCUGGUGAGGGCUCAGACUCGAGACGUUAUUUGUAUCACCGACACAGCCAAAAGUUCACUUCUGCAUCACUCACAAUCACUCAGCCUCCGUGUGCCAGGGUUUUCCCACCUGCAAAAUGGAAACAAAGUUCAUGUCCACGGGUUUACCAUUUGAGCAAUGAGCUGGGCUGGAAAACCUGGCUCCAAACUCCCUGGGGUUUGCUCCUCUCUGCAGUCAACAGCAGCACAGAGUUUAUUUUUCUCCCAUAAGAUUAUCCCUGCUUCUUUCUUCCGUCUCAAAAUAGCACCAAUGUGAGCCUGAACUCCCGAACCCAGGAUGACUGAAUCAUAUUCAAAGGAGUCCAAAACCAGUGCGGGAAUGCAGCCUUUCUUGCCAGGGGCCUGGGUGUACAGCAGAGGGGUCCCACUGGGUGGGAAAGGAUCUGUCAGGUUCGGCUGUGGCAGUCUGAGGUGGUGGCACCAAAGCCCGUCACUGCUCCUCCGCUGGAAGCUGCUGUCACAGCCGGCAGCUAUCGCAAAAAUCACAGCUAGCAGCCACUGCAGUUCAGAGUUCAUUGCCAUAAAUUAAAUCACCAGCGUAAGGUAAUACAGCCGACUGGGAAUUGCAGAGGCCGAGGACCUGGCAGACAUUUGUGCCUCUCUCCCCUUCCAUUAUGAAAAUAGAGGCUUAUACCUCUGCCGUCCCGGGAAGGUUUGGCACGGUUUGUCUGUCAGAGUCCCAAGCAGCUCGCUGGAGGUCACGCAGGAAAUGUGUGUCGGCACAGACUGUCAUGCAGGCUGUUGGAUUUGCAUCUCUGGAGGCCCAGGCAAACACCCCACCAUGAGACUAACCUUUUCCUCUGAGCAGGGACUGGCUGCAAGCAUCAACCCCGAGCCCUUCGGUUACCACCGCUGCUGCCUGCCAGGCGCCUGUCAAGCUGCCUUGUGAAGGGCUGGCAUGUGCAUUAUGAGGAGCGUUAUUCUGUAGCUGCCUUUCUAAAGCCCUGUUGAAAAAUCUGUCCCAAAGAAUAGAAAGAGAGGUAUUAGCUUAAACAAGCACUCCGUAACAUGCACGUGAUAGAAGCCCUGAAAGGGAGCAGAGCUGGAGCUAUUCUUAUGUGCUACCUCCUGUGCAGGCUUUAAUUGCACAUUAUUCAUUAAUCCUUUGCUCUUCAGAGCAAACAGAUCUGUUUCAAGACACUUGUGUUACAUAAACAACCAGAAACCCUUCUGGAUGAGUGUGUGUGUACACAUCCACCCAAGGGAGCGUCACAGACGUGUCGGAGAUUCUCAUUUCCCUGUGCAAGUGCUGUGCUAGAACUGACAGAACUUAGUAUUCGUUUUGUGGCUUUGUUGGACUGUUUUGGAAACUGGUUUUACAAAGUCCACAUGGGACCCCAAAGAAAAUUGCGUAGCUCGUGGUUACGUUAGGAGCAGAGGUGCUCUCAGGAGUGGCACUUGGAGGGAGGCAGGUAUUUGCAGGACUGUUCUGAGGUACAGGAGUCAUGUCACCAAGGUGUGGUUCAUAACACAGUCCCUGGAAGGAGGGAGAUUCCUCCUCUCACCCACCUGUUUGUGUCUGCCACCCCCUGCACUUGCUCUGCUGUCAGACCAUGCACGGAUUAGACAUGCAGUCCUGGGUCUCCAAAUAUUAGUGCUCACCACAGUGAUAAGGUUUCACCAUCGCUCCAUAGACAGCAUCAUUCUGGAGCUGGGGCCAUGAAAACAAAAAGAAACUAACAACAGAGCUGCAGGAGAGGGUGAAUUUCUUUCUUUGGGGCUUUAAUUUCUGUAAUGCAGCUGCCAUCUUCCUUAAAAUAAAAGUUAUCUGGAAAUAGAAAUAAGGGAGACAAAGGUGGAGAAGCAAAUGCAGGGAGCACAGAAGGGUGUUCACAGGUCUCUGUUGCCCUUGGACCACAUAUUUACGAGAAUCAAACACAAACGCUGCUCUGUCAUUCUUCGCUUCAAUAGGAAAGCAGGCGGCUGGUCCUGCCGAGUGGAGGACGGGGUAACUGGCAAUCCAAGCAGCAGGGAGACAUUUUGAGCUGGAUCUGGAGCCAGACUAACUAUUGGCCAAAGUUGUCUCUGAUAUAACACUGCCAAAAGCAGCUCAGCAUUCUUCACCUCCCUUGAGCUUCACCAGGGACAAACCUGGCCGGGCUGUGCUCAGCCUGGAUAAUCCAGCUAUGGUAGGACCCAAGCUCAGCAAACCAGCCUCGCGGGCACUUGCCAACCUGACACGUCUGAGUUCACGAACUGCAGAUGGUGCUGGCCCGCGUGUUUCAUUUUCCCAUUUCCCUCGACAUCCCUGAGCAAAGCGAGUCAAGCGUGCCUUACCACAGCGCCUGGGAGACCGCGGGCAGGAAGGGAUCAAAUUUUCCAGUUUUGCCUCAAGCGUGUCACCACAUCAGCAGACAACUCUUUUGCCUAAUGCCAGUGUAUUGCGUGUCACCUCAUAUUUCACACGAUACAACACAGUCCAGUGAUGCAAGUCCUUUCUCUUGCUGGCCAACUGGUAUUUAUGGAGAUAGCAAUUACUAGGAAGCCAGGAUUUAGGGCACGCAAGGGCUGGUGGUGGCGCAGAGCCCUUGCUACUGGUGGGUGGGAUUCCUUUACCUCUCCCUGAACUCCUGCCAGGCCACUCAACACAUCUCCAGCCACAAGAAGUUUGCAGCUGUUUUGGUUUGAAGCACCAGAGGAGGGGGAGAAGUGGGGGAGGCUCUAUCAGCUCUUCCCAGGGAAUGCGGUUCAGUUCCUCACACCUCAUCUUUGGUCAGGAAACCGAGAUGGGGAUAGGCAAAGCUGCUGAGCCUACUUAGACAGAAUACCUCAGGAAAACAUGCAGAGCCAAAUUAUGUCCCAUUAACUUCUCCCAGCCCACCAUCUUCCACAGCUAUGCUGCAGGGAAAGGAGGUCAGCAUUUGGACCAUUACCUUGGCCCCUGCUACUGAACACCUCCCGGUCUCUAACGUGCUCUCGUUCGCAGUGGUGGAGAAAGCCACUGCUGUUACCUGGGACACUGGAGCACCAAGAAUAACCCAGAUUCAGGCACCCCAAAUCCCACUGUGGUCCUUGUGCUCAGUGUUUCCUGCUGGCUGAGUGCUCCUGAUGGCCCCUUCUACAGCGUUUAAGGGGGACAGAGUGGACAGAAGCCAGGGCAGACAUUCCUAUGCAAGGAAAACAGGGUGGCUGCGUCAGGUAAACCAGCCAGCCUGGGCUGGCACAGGCUAGAUCCAUCCCUCCUUCAGGUACAACAAUUCAGGCAUGGGUCUCUCUCUUUUUUUUUCCUGCAACUCAGCUCAGGGCUCCAAGGAUCUCAAACCCUCUGUGGUCAAUGGUGGAUGUACUCCAAGCAUGGGAAGACGUGACCAUCCCUGCAAAGCGCAGCCAAAGGGCACUGGACUAUUUUUCCCAGCAGGGAUACAACAAGGACAUCAGAUCACAGACAUGGGGCCAUACACCCUGGGGACCACAGAGCCUCCCAGAUCAGCCUAUACACGGCAGCACUGAGAUGGGAGAUCAAAAUAACCCCCUGCCCACUCCGACCACUGCUGCCAUCGUUCACAGUGCUCCGGAUGAUCCUCUCCCAGCAAUGGGUGUGAGUGGGGAGUUCAGGGCACAGGUGAUUGAAGGGGAUAUUCACUACUGCUGCAGACCAGCUGGAGCCCACAGGCACAGCUGAAGGGUCCUGGCCUAAAGCCAGCCACUGGGACAUCAGUGGGAGUUAAACUAGUUGAGUCUAGGCUGCAUGAGUCAUCCAAGGUCGGACAUCCAUAUCUUCAGAGGGAUCAAACAAGGAUAGCUUGGAGAAAAUCAGAGUGUCAAACCAGCAUCACACUCCGUUGCCUCAGUUUCUUCAUGUAUAAACUGGGGACAAUAAAAUGUGAUCCCGUGAGGCCUUCCUCUGUGGAGUGGAAGUUCACAGAUGGUGGUAAAGGUGUUUCUAGAGACACUGUAAUUCUUUUAUCUGAGCAACAGGAAGAAAAGAGAAGAAAUUAGAGCAGUUCCUUUCUUGGAGCUGCUGUUCUGCUGUUCCUUGCAACCCCUUUGUUAUGAUUUCAGAUGGAUGGUUUGUGCUUUUUUCUUUUUUUUUUUUUUUUAACUGUGAUGCUAUUUAAGGCAGAAAAGGGAUUUCAUCAUCUCCCCAUGGCCAUUCUCAGCUGCAGCUCUGACCCUCCCCUCCCCGCCAUGCUCCACUUGGUCUAAUAAACUUUUUUUUCUUGCU